rnacentral:rRNA from 1 species
CACGUAGGGCGCAAGCGUUUGUCCGGAAUUAUUGGGCGUAAAGAGCUCGUAGGCGGUCUGUUGCGUCCGCUGUGAAAACUCGGGGCUUAACCCCGAGCCUGCAGUGGAUACGGGCAGACUAGAGUGCGGUAGGGGAGAUUGGAAUUCCUGGUGUAGCGGUGGAAUGCGCAGAUAUCAGGAGGAACACCGAUGGCGAAGGCAGCUCGCUGGGACGUUACUGACGCUGAGACGCGAAAGCGUGGGGAGCAAACAGG